GAUGAACGCUGGCGGCGUGCUUAACACAUGCAAGUCGAGCGGGGCGCAUCUGCGGAAUUUUUCGGAAGGAAGCGGAUGCGCUUAGCGGCGGACGGGUGAGUAACGCGUGGGCAACCUGCCUCAUACGGGGGGAUAACAGUUAGAAAUGACUGCUAAUACCGCAUAAGCGCACGAGGGCCGCAUGGCCCGGUGUGAAAAACUCCGGUGGUAUGGGAUGGACCUGCGUCUGAUUAGCUUGUUGGCGGGGUAACGGCCCACCAAGGCGACGAUCAGUAGCCGACCUGAGAGGGUGGCCGGCCACAUUGGGACUGAGACACGGCCCAA
rnacentral:rRNA from 1 species